UCGCUGAUGCAUGUUUGCAAAGGAAAGUUGCUUUGGGAGAGAGGUGAUAGGGGAUGUAGAAUAUACAUCAUAUAUGGAAAACUGCAUGUCCUAUGGUAGCAGUUAUAUUGAAGGACCAUUUUUGUGGGAGGAACGAGCCCUGUCAUCUUUAUCCGGAAUACACGUUCUUUAUGGCAGUCAUUUCCAAGUUGGCUGAGGGACGCACUGUUGUUUACACCUCCAAGCUCAGCAGUGCAGAGGAUUU